CGAGGCGUGGCAGAGAGGUUUAUCGCGGGCGGCGGCUUCGAAAGAGGCCCGCUCCGGGCUUUGAGGCCUUCAGGACUCUCACGGCGCGCGCAGGUUCGAAUCCUGUCGCCUCGU
rnacentral:tRNA from 1 species